GCAACAUCAUCAAGAUUCACA
rnacentral:miRNA from 1 species